CGAAGAUAGCCAGACACACGUGAGUUGCAAGUGCUGGAAUCUUAGUCUCACACAUA
rfam:Maize yellow dwarf virus-RMV2, complete genome.